rnacentral:rRNA from 1 species
AUGGCUGUCGUCAGCUCGUGUCGUGAGAUGUUGGGUUAAGUCCGUAACGAGCGCAACCCUGUCCUUAGUUACCAGCACGUUAUGGUGGGCACUCUAAGGAGACUGCCGGUGCAAACCGGAGGAAGGUGGGGGAUGACGUCAAGUCAUCAUGGCCCUUACGGCCUGGGCUACACACGUGCUACAAUGGUCGGUACAAAGGGUUGCCAAGCCGCGAGGUGGAGCUAAUCCCAUAAAACCGAUCGUAGUCCGGAUCGCAGUCUGCAACUCGACUGCGUGAAGUCGGAAUCGCUAGUAAUCGUGAAUCAGAAUGUCACGGUGAAUACGUUCCCGGGCCUU